rnacentral:rRNA from 1 species
GAUCAUGGCUCAGGAUGAACGCUGGCGGCGUGCUUAACACAUGCAAGUCGAACGAAGCACUUCAUAAAGCUUGCUUUAAGAAGUGACUUAGUGGCGGACGGGUGAGUAACGCGUGGGUAACCUGCCUUACACAGGGGGAUAACAGUUAGAAUGACUGCUAAUACCGCAUAAAACAGCAGAGUCGCAUGACUCAACUGUCAAAGAUUUAUCGGGUGUAAAGAUGGACCCGCGU